AAAUUGAAGAGUUUGAUCAUGGCUCAGAUUGAACGCUGGCGGCAGGCCUAACACAUGCAAGUCGAACGGUAACAGGAAGCAGCUUGCUGCUUCGCUGACGAGUGGCGGACGGGUGAGUAAUGUCUGGGAAACUGCCUGAUGGAGGGGGAUAACUACUGGAAACGGUAGCUAAUACCGCAUAAUGUCGCAAGACCAAAGAGGGGGACCUUCGGGCCUCUUGCCAUCGGAUGUGCCCAGAUGGGAUUAGCUUGUUGGUGGGGUAACGGCUCACCAAGGCGACGAUCCCUAGCUGGUCUGAGAGGAUGACCAGCCACACUGG
rnacentral:rRNA from 1 species